GGGCCCGCACAAGCGGUGGAGCAUGUGGUUUAAUUCGAUGCAACGCGAAGAACCUUACCAAGGCUUGACAUACUAUAGAUUUCUUUGAAAAAAGGAAAGUGCCUUCGGGAAUGUAGAUACAGGUGGUGCAUGGCUGUCGUCAGCUCGUGUCGUGAGAUGUUGGGUUAAGUCCCGCAACGAGCGCAACCCUUAUUUUUAGUUACCAACUUGUUGGGUUCUCUAGAAAGACUGCCGGUGACAAACCGGAGGAAGGUGAGGAUGACGUCAAGUCAGCAUGCCCCUUAUGCCCUGGGCUACACACGUGCUACAAUGGCUAAGACAAAGAGUCGCGAACUUGCAAAAGUCAGCUAA
rnacentral:rRNA from 1 species